rnacentral:tRNA from 1 species
GGAGAGAUGGCUCAGUAGUUAAGAGCACUGGCUAUUCUUCCAGAAGACCUUGGUUCAAUUCCCAGCAUCUACA